rnacentral:rRNA from 1 species
CCUACGGGAGGCAGCAGUGAGGAAUAUUGGUCAAUGGGCGCGAGCCUGAACCAGCCAAGUAGCGUGAAGGAUGACUGCCCUACGGGUUGUAAACUUCUUUUAUAAAGGAAUAAAGUGAGGCACGUGUGCCUUUUUGUAUGUACUUUAUGAAUAAGGAUCGGCUAACUCCGUGCCAGCAGCCGCGGUAAUACGGAGGAUCCGAGCGUUAUCCGGAUUUAUUGGUUUUAAAGGGAGCGUAGAUGGGUUGUUAAGUCAGUUGUGAAAGUUUGCGGCUCAACCGUAAAAUUGCAAUUGAUACUGGCAGCAAUGAUGACAGUUGAGGUAGGCGGAAUUCGUGGUGUAGCGGUGAAAUGCUUAGAUAUCACGAAGAACUCCGAUUGCGAAGGCAGCCUAAUAAACUGCCACUGACAUUGAUGCUCGAAAGUGUGGGUAUCAAACAGGAUUAGAUACCCCUGUAGUC